UAGUUGCUUCAGGUAAGGGUAUGGACUGCGCAUGUCUGGGUCACAGUCAGCACUUACACAAGGAGUCCCUUCCCACAGGAACCUGGGAGGAAAAUGAACAGGUUACUUCCUCCUCGUGGUCCCACUGGUCCUCAUACCUGCCUUCUCUAUACAGCUAGAUCGGAAUAAUAUGACUGGCCUCACUCUUUCAGGCUAAGACUGUAGCUUGUGCCCCUGGGAAGCAUGCUGCUUGAUCUUAGUUGUCACUGUCAACAUGAUCGAUUUUAAAAUCAUCUGGAAUCAGACCUCCAGAAGUGUCUAGCCGGCUUACCUGAAUGGGGAGACCCACCCUGAAACAAAAAAGGAAGAAAAGAGAAAGCAAGUCGAAUGUCAGCCUUUCUUGCUUGAUUUCCUGUUUCAUCCGAGUGUGGAGAGUAAGGCGUCAAAGCCGAGGAGCACUUCCGCUACUUUGUCUUUCCCACGUGAUGGACUACAUCCUCACACUGUGAACCAAAGCAAUCCCUCCAUUGAGUUGCUUUUCAGCUUUUUUGUUGGGUUUUGCAAUUCUGAAAAUUCAUCCCAGCCAAACAUUGAGUCAUGCCCCCAGUCCUUCAGUAGCCUUUUGUCACCGGCAGUGAAAAGUGUCUGUCUCCAGAUGGCUCAUUAGACCCAAGAAGCAAUUCUCUUUCAUUUAUAAUAUCUGCAAGUAUUUGAAUUGAUACUGAUAUCUCCAGAUUUUGUUGAAAGCUGCUGUGCAGGUCCCAGCUGUUCCAUGUCUUCAUGGCAGAUCAGAUGUAUGUGGCUGUCUGCAAGCAGAGUGUAAAAGAUGGAACAGAUUGUUUCCUUAGGUGCACACAGGCUGACACUCUGCAGAUGCACACAUGCCAUUGAAAUAAACCACGAGUGUUGUAUGGCUUCCAGAGCCCUGCCUGUGCCUGUACCUCUUCCUCUUCCACUCAAGAACUCCUGUUAGCAGAUCAUGAGUUUUACUACUUGACAGCAGUCAUCAGCACCCGAGAAGAAGGACCCUAAUUGUCUCUGACUUUGAGAACAGGGUUACAGACAACAUAAGCAAACUCUGGCUAGAAUUUGUUGGAUGAACAGUCAACCUGAAAUUCAGGAGUUGGAGCGGCAAGCAGUUUGAUGCUACAAACUGGAUCUCCAGGGACGUCAGAAGCAGAGUGUUAUGGACCUUUCCUUUGUAAUGCCUAUGCCUUUAUUUCUUUUCUUUAGUGACCUGCUAUCAGUUUUCAGGAAGACAGGGCUGCGUCCUACAGCAUAAACACUGAUAUCAUCCCUUCUCUGUAUUGGGGCACUUCACAGGCCAAAGGGAAUGUUGGGAGAGUAAUAUGUUUUUAAAUUUUUUUUAAAUUGAUGUACUUUAUUUAAAAUGUUAUAUAGUAUAGAAAAACUAAUUGUAGAGACAACAGAUAUUAUUAAUUUAUAAUACUAUCUGGAUGUCGCCUUGUGCCUUUGCCUGUAUCUCACCCCUGUGUGUCUCCUUG